AGUGAACGCUGGCGGUAGGCCUAACACAUGCAAGUCGAACGGCAGCACAGUAAGAGCUUGCUCUUACGGGUGGCGAGUGGCGGACGGGUGAGGAAUACAUCGGAAUCUACUUUUUCGUGGGGGAUAACGUAGGGAAACUUACGCUAAUACCGCAUACGACCUACGGGUGAAAGCAGGGGAUCUUCGGACCUUGCGCGAUUGAAUGAGCCGAUGUCGGAUUAGCUAGUUGGCGGGGUAAAGGCCCACCAAGGCGACGAUCCGUAGCUGGUCUGAGAGGAUGAUCAGCCACACUGGAACUGAGACACGGUCCAGACUCCUACGGGAGGCAGCAGUGGGGAAUAUUGGACAAUGGGCGCAGGCCUGAUCCAGCCACACCGCGUGGGUGAAGAAGGCCUUCGGGUUGUAAAGCCCUUUUGUUGGGAAAGAAAAGCAGCAGGUUAAUACCCCGCUGUUCUGACGGUACCCAAAGAAUAAGCACCGGCUAACUUCGUG
rnacentral:rRNA from 1 species